rnacentral:pre_miRNA from 1 species
CACCUACUCCCUCCGUUCGGAAUUAGUUGUCGCAGAAAUGGAUGUAUCUAGAUGUAUUUUAGUUUUAAAUACAUCCAUUUCCGAGACAAGUAAUUCGGAACGGAGGGAGUAGUAA